CGGGGUGCACCAGGCGCGAAAACUUUACAAUGCCGGCAACGGCGAUAAGGGAACCUCGAGUGCCAGGUUACAAAUCUGGCUGUCGUGAUGCCUAAAAAGCAUUGCAUAGCAAGGGCCGGGCAAGACCGGUGCCAGCCGCCGCGGUAACACCGGCGGCUCGAGUGGUAACCGUUAUUAUUGGGUCUAAAGGGUCUGUAGCCGGCCGGGUAAGUCUCUUGGGAAAUCUGGCAGCUUAACUGUCAGGCUUUCAGGAGAUACUGCCUGGCUCGAGGCCGGGAGAGGUGAGAGGCACUUCAGGGGUAGGGGUGAAAUCUUGUAAUCCUUGAAGGACCACCAGUGGCGAAGGCGUCUCACCAGAACGGACCUGACGGCAAGGGACGAAAGCUAGGGGCACGAACCGGAUUAGAUACCCGGGUAGUCCUAGCCGUAAACGAUACUCGCUAGGUGUCGGCCACGGUGCGACCGUGGUCGGUGCCGUAGGGAAGCCGUGAAGCGAGCCACCUGGGAAGUACGGCCGCAAGGCUGAAACUUAAAGGAAUUGGCGGGGGAGCAC
rnacentral:rRNA from 1 species